GAUGAACGCUGGCGGCGUGCCUAAUACAUGCAAGUCGAGCGAACAGACGAGGAGCUUGCUCCUCUGACGUUAGCGGCGGACGGGUGAGUAACACGUGGAUAACCUACCUAUAAGACUGGGAUAACUUCGGGAAACCGGAGCUAAUACCGGAUAAUAUAUUGAACCGCAUGGUUCAAUAGUGAAAGACGGUUUUGCUGUCACUUAUAGAUGGAUCCGCGCCGCAUUAGCUAGUUGGUAAGGUAACGGCUUACCAAGGCAACGAUGCGUAGCCGACCUGAGAGGGUGAUCGGCCACACUGGAACUGAGACACGGUCCAGACUCCUACGGGAGGCAGCAGUAGGGAAUCUUCCGCAAUGGGCGAAAGCUUGACGGAGCAACGCCGCUUGAGUGAUGAAGGUCUUCGGAUCGUAAAACUCUGUUAUUAGGGAAGAACAAAUGUGUAAGUAACUAUGCACGUCUUGACGGUACCUAAGCAGAAAGCCACGGCUAACUACGU
rnacentral:rRNA from 1 species